GAUGAAGAACGCAGCGAAAUGCGAUACGUAAUGUGAAUUGCAGAAUUCAGUGAAUCAUCGAAUCUUUGAACGCAUCUUGCGCUCCUUGGUAUUCCUUGGAGCAUGCCUGUUUGAGUAUCAUGAGCAAAUCUCAAAGUCAAUUCCUUUUGUUAAUUCAAUUGGUUUUGCUUUGGACUUGGAGGUCUUGCAGAUUUUCACAGUCUGCUCCUCUUAAAUGCAUUAGCUGGAUCUCAGUAAUUAUGCUUGGUUCCACUCGGCGUGAUAAGUAUCACUCGCUGAGGACACUGUUAAAAAGGUGGCCAGGAAAAUACUGAUUGAACCGCUUCUAACGGUCUAUUAAGUUAGACAAUUACCCUUAAGUUUGAUCUCAAAUCAGGUAGGACUACCCGCUGAACUUAAGCAUAUCAAUAAGCGGAGGA
rnacentral:misc_RNA from 1 species